rnacentral:rRNA from 1 species
AACGAACGCUGGCGGCAGGCUUAACACAUGCAAGUCGAGCGAGACCUUCGGGUCUAGCGGCGGACGGGUGAGUAACGCGUGGGAACGUGCCCUUCUCUACGGAAUAGCCCCGGGAAACUGGGAGUAAUACCGUAUACGCCCUUUGGGGGAAAGAUUUAUCGGAGAAGGAUCGGCCCGCGUUGGAUUAGGUAGUUUGUGGGGUAAUGGCCCACCAAGCCGACGAUCCAUAGCUGGGUUGAGAGGAUGAUCAGCCACACUGGGACUGAGACACGGCCCAGACUCCUACGGGAGGCAGCAGUGGGGAAUCUUAGACAAUGGGGGCAACCCUGAUCUAGCCAUGCCGCGUGAGUGAUGAAGGCCUUAGGGUUGUAAAGCUCUUUCAGCUGGGAAGAUAAUGACGGUACCAGCAGAAGAAGCCCCGGCUAACUCCGUG